UUAAUGGCCUAUAAAUGGAGUUUAUGAUCAUGAGUCAUGUGAUUUAAUUUCUCAACAACAUUUCAUGGAAUGUUUCAUUAUCUAUGAAAUCAAAUUUCUCCAUCAUAGUUGAUAUAGUCGUCAAUGUUUAUUUAUGACUCUCCCAUGAUGUUGGCCGACAAAUAGUAUACCAAUGUAUCCUACUAAUGACUACUUAUCUUUGCAUUUUGUAAAGACAUAGCCAAGAAACAUAUCACUUAUAUGUUAUUACUUAUUUCACUAAACAAGUUUUCCAUUAAUAGUCCCAUGAAAAUAUUAUAAAAUUUUAUUGGCAACUUCCUAGUGAUUUAGGCCAUGAUUUAAUGAUAACGACUAAGCAUGCCACCGAAAAUGUGUACCUUAAAUGUGGAAGGAACUGAAGGGAAGUAUUGUUGCAUUUUAUAUCGACUCUCAGUAUAUGUAUUUAGGGACAUGUCUAAAGCCCUUUGGAUUCCUCGAUGCAUUUAUAUGCCUAUUGCAUAUUAGGCUUCACCAAGAUCUUGUUGGAUUAGUGUCUAAGUCCAUAACUAUUUUGGUAUGUACUUGACCCGAUGGUGCAUGGUCCUUUUGGGUUGCCCUCACCAAAGCAACUUGAUAUGAUGAAUUAUGGAGAGAAAGGAUUAAAUAUGAUUUAUUAAUAUAUUAUGAGAAUAAUAUAUUAAAGGAGAAAUCAUAUUGUUUAAUUAAUAUUAGUCAAGAAUUAAUUGGUAAUUAGUUUUGUGACUAAAAAAGAUUAAUUAAACUUAAGGGACUGGAAUUGUAAUUAUAAGAUAAUUGCAAUAUGGGCUAUGGAUUGUCUUAAAUUAAGGAGUGGACGAAUUCUAUGGGAAACCCAUGGGGAAAUCGUCCAAGGCCUUAAUUAAAGGAGUCCAUGGGUUGCUUAGGGCUUAAGCAUCCAAAUUAGGUUUCCUUGUUAGAUAACCCUAAUAGCCUCCUAUAUAUAUGGAUCCCUUAUGACCCAAAAACGUGGCUAAGCAUUCCUCUAGAGUUUCACACGUUUUUGGGUAGCCUCCAUCCUCUCUCCUCUUCAUCCUCUUGCUUAUGGUGUUUGUGAACCAUUAGAGGAGUGACAUUUGUGACUCUAAGCUUUCUAAAGUCAAUACAAGGAGAUUUGGGAUUGUUAUUGCUACAUAACAAUCAAGGUAAUAUCUUAAACCUAUUCUCAUGUUAAUAUGAUUACUUGAAUGCUAGAAUUAGGGUUUAUAGUCUUGGAUAACUUGCAUGUACAAUAGAGAAACCUAGAUCCAAGCAUUAGGGUUUGUAUGAGCACAUAGGAUGUUCUUAUGACCAAAACCCAUCAGUGGUAUCAGAGCCUAGAUUGGUUUCUAUUGUAUUGAUGCUUUGUAUGUUGAAAAAAAUUGAUUUUUGUGUUUCUGGGGGCUGAACUCGCCGAGUUUUUUAAAUGAACUCGCCGAGUUCAUGCUAACUCGACGAGUCCAUGCCUGACUCGACGAGUCGGCUGGUCAGAAUGAGGGAAAACCGGGAUUUCUUGCUGUUUUUGCUUGAGGAUACUUGCCUUAUCAUAUUAGAUCAAUAUAAAUCCGAUUUUUUGAUAUAUAUGACUAUAUUCUUGAUCUAAUUGAAGAUAUUUAUCAAUUAAUAAAAUAUUUGUUUCCUUAUGUGAUAAUUGAUUAAUUAUUUUGAUUAAAUUGGUAAAUUGUUUUGCAAGAAAUCAUUAAAUAAAUCAAAUAUGGAUAAUUAUGUGAUUAAAUGUUAAUUUAGAUUAUUUGUUAUUUGAUCCUUGUGUUAUGAAAAGUUUCAUAUUUUCCCCUUUAGGUUUUAUAGUUUAAAUUUGAACCCAAAAGUUUUGUUGUUUUGAAAUUUAAAUAGUUGAAACCCUAAUGUUUUGAAAAAGGUUUCAAAACUUGCCCUCAAGUUUUGGAAUUUAAAUUUUGAUUAAUUGUUUAAUUUUGAUGUAUAUUUAAAUUCUAAACCCUAAUGUUUUGAAAUGUUUCAAAACUUGCCCUCAAGUUUUGGAAUUUAAAAGUUGAUUAAAAGUUUAAUUAGGAAUGUUAAAUUCUAAAACCCUAGUAUUGUUUUGAAAAAGUUCAAAUCACACCCUUAUGGUUUUAUUAAUUAAUUAAGGUGUAUAAUUAAAAGAGGUUUAAUAAAUCCAUAAAAGUUUUGGUUUACAAUUUAAUUGAAUUAAAAGUAUAAUUAUUAAAUUUGACCACCUAGUAUUUUAAAAGUGUAAAAUACACCCUAUACUAUAUAUAACAUUAAAAGUCUAACAUUAUAUAUAUGUAUGAGUAAAAGUCAGUCUUACCGUUAGUAGGCCUCAUUCACGAAGCUGGUCUAUAAGGGGUGUUUAAGGAAAUUGCCUAUAAAAUGGCGAUUGAAUGGGUAUCCACUCUUACCCACCGCACUCUUGACUAGUGGAGGGUCGUUAGCCGAACGGGUAGGAUAGGACGAAACCUUCCAUUAUAAGUAUAAUGAAUUAUUAAAGUAACUAAAUGUUUUCAUAAAAUUCCCAAUCUUAGUUACUUAGGCAAAAGUGAAUUGAUGCAAUUCCAUGAAAUUACACUUUGUGCCCUUGCGAAGACGUUAGUGGAGCGUGUGUGGUUUACCGGCACACUAAAUGGUUCUAAGCAAAGGUAGCAAAGGGUGACUCAAUGUUUGUCAUAGUUCGGUGGAGCGUGUGUGGUUUACCGGCACAUCGAAUAGGUGACUGUAACAUGUGAGGGCACCAUGUAAGUUUGCAUGGUUAUUCACACCCGCUUUGUGAUCCUCGGCAUCCCAGUCACAAACAAGAGGGGCAUAUCGAGAUUUAAACAUGCCAUUGAAAGUUCAAUGAAUCUCAAAGGAUCUAGGAGUUUUCAUAGAUUUAAAACUUAAAUUUCUUUUUCGUUUUUCAUGGUGGAAAUUAGUGAAUCGUCAUUCACUUACCUUCAAAUAUUCUGCAAUUAGGGUUACGGCAUCCCUCUCCCGAGUUGUAGAAUAUUGUGUUGGGUCCUAGCCUUAGUAUCUCAUUUGGGUGAUUUACUAAGGACUCAAUCAAUCAACUAACUUGAAUUCGUUUUCUCCCGUUUUGUAGAUGUCAAAGUUCGACAACUAUGGUCUUCCCAAAUCCCGUGGAACAAGCAUUCCACAUGAAGAUGAUAUUCCACGAUUCGAUCGAGGAACAAGAAAUCAUGCUUCACUUCCUCCUCCUCCUCCAAUUAUUCUCCCUAACCCACAAGUUCAAAGGCUUGAAAAGUUCAAGAUCACUCAAGCCCUUUUGGCAAGUAAACAUAAAGAAGGAAAGUCGGUGUGUGCACACGUCCUAGGGAUGAAGUCACACAUUGAUAGGUUAAGAAUGUUGGGAUCCGUUGUCUGUGAGGAAAUGGCUGUUGAUUGGGUUCUUCAGUCACUUCCUAACUCAUAUAGUGAGUUCGUAAGAGAGUACUAUAUGAUGAACCGCGACGUGACCCUUAUAGAUCUCACCUAUAUGCUUAUUGCUGCUGAAUCAGCAAUGGUUUGGCGCAAUAGAAAAGCAAAGUUGAUUGGUGAAUCUGCCUUCAAGACCUCUAUGGAUAUAGACAAUGGCAACGAAAGACAUGCUAUGAUCGAAAAGUUUGAUCAUAAGAGAAAGGCAAUGUCUGAAGUAGUUCCAUGUCAUGUUCCAAAAGAGUCAAUUUGCUUUUAUUGCCAAGAGAAAGGGCAUUGGAGACGAAGCUGCCCCAUUUACCUAAGAGAUCUAAGAGAUGGGAGAGUCGAAACGUAUGGCUCUAAUAUAGGUAAAAUCCAUUAACUAACUCUUUUAAGCUUCUAUUCUAGAUUCUUAAUACAUAAUGUGAUAAGAUUACAAUUGAUGUUUUGUAGGAUCGAAGAAAAGAAAGGAAGCUUAAGGGAAGAAGUGAGCAGAAUCUAACCGUGAAGGAAUGGAUUUCGAUCGCAUUUCUCGAAGAUUAGAUUCUUGAGCUACUACUUAGAGUUAGAAUUAGAUUGCUAAGAAAGAUGUAUUAGCAUAGUUUUUCAAUGAAUUGCAUUGUAAGGACAAAUUUUUUCCGCAAUAAAAUAAAUUUUGAUUUUAUAUUAUUUAUUUAUCCUUGCAAUGGCGUAUAUGAAAAAUUGAUGUUUGAAUGUUUCUAUUAUUAGCAAUAAUGGAUUUGGUUCUUAUUAUGUUAUUUAUGGAAAGUCGAGAGUUUACCAAAUAGGGAGAGUUUCUCAUCGCCCAAGUUUCAAUUGGACAGAAACUUGGAAUCAUGCAACUUGGUUGCACGAUGAAUGAGAAAUUUCAUAUUUGGAAAUUAGACUAAUUCAUUGACAAAGUGUCAAGUGAAGGACUAGGAGAUCGAGUACACAAAGUUGCGUGUUGAUCAAGUCCACCAUAAGAGUAACAAAGAUAUUCGUCAUGAUUUACUAAAGGUUUAGUAAAUAUGAUUAUACUUACAAGAUUAAGUGUAAUUCUGAAUUGAUUGAAAAAGUUUAAAUCAAUAGCAGAACGAAUAAGAAGAAUCAAGUAGGCAGAAAGAUAAAAGUUUCUCCAUUCUAAGAAGAAGGGAGAGUACCUUUUAUGCUUUAUGAUAGGUCUUAAUGAUUAAGAACCAUAUCUCAAUUGAUCCUCUAAGUGAGUCUUAGUACAAUUGUAUGUCUAAGAAGAGGAAUCAAGAAUUGAAGAAAUGGUUAAAUCAAGAAGUCAAUCAUACUUCGUUCCAAAACAAGUCUUAGAGUUAAGAUUGUGACAUUGAGUGAAAAGUAUUAAGAAGGUUUAUAACAUUCAUCAAAUGUGGAAAGUUGUGAUGUCUUGGAUAAGACAAAGACCAACUAGGACCAAUUUAUGAAGUGUUUUGAUAAAAGCUACACUAACUCUUGAAUAUUUGUUUGUCAAGAAAUGUUUAUUGACAAGAGAAUCUUAUAUGUCAAGGAGUCAGUGGGAGUCUUAAUGGUCUUGAAAGGUUUCAAGAACAAAUCAAAUAAACCUUAUCGAUCAUCACUAGCACACGAGUUGAGGUUUACAACCUAUCGUGUUGACAUUAUUUUGUUUCUGUGCCAAUCCAAUCGAGUUAAUUAUGCAUGUGAGUUCUAUGAGUUCUCAUUUUGAACGCAUAAAAGGCAAAGCACCUUAAUCAAUGAAAGGUACAUUGAUAGGAAAGGGUGAGCUGCUUAACUACUUGGAAGACAUGGUGGGCAGCUGUGCUACCAUAAGGCAAGAAAUCAAGAUUAAGAAAGUUCGGUCCAUAUGAGUUUGAAUUUGUCGUAAACUUUGGUUUUAACAAAUUCACAUGGAUAGGAACACAUACACCGUUUAAAUCUAAGUGUCAUAAGAUUUCCUCCUUCAUGAAAAUGAUUGUGAGGAAAUGCUUUCACUAAGAAAGAUUUUAAGAAGAUAGUGAUUGUAAAAUUGCAUUCUCGAAUUCGAUUAUGGUUACGGUAUCCCUUUCCAUAAUUUGAAUUGUGAGGUUUGGCAAUUAGUCUUAAUUGUUUAGACACACAUAUGAACUAUCGAAGGCAAAGGUGUAUAAGUUCAAGAAGCCUUGAUAAAAGAUUAUCAAAGCACUAAGUAUUAGAAACAUGAACUUAAGAAAUUCAAUAAGUAUUGUUUUUCUGAAAGUUAAGAUGUUUAUGAAUACAUGUCGAAGCUAGUGGGAGCAUAAGUGUUAUGUUUUAUAAUAAUCAUCAUGAUAGUGGGAGCAUAAAUGUUAUGAUUGUAUGAUUAUUAAGGCACGUAUUGCAAGUUGGCAAUAUUAAUUAUAGAAAACAAGAGUUAUACCUUGCAAAGUCGUAAGGGUUGUAAAGUUGUUUUGCUAUAAUUAAGGGAGAGAAUAUUAUGCUUCAUUUCAAAUCUAAAGGAUUAGGUUGAGAAAUGUUAAUAAAUUUAGUCAAAGGUACAUAGUGUGUUCUUAAAAUUUCGAUUAUGAUUACGGCAUCCCUCUUCACAAUUCGAAUUUUGAGAACAUAGCAAAUAAAACAUUAUGCGUCGUGUCCCAUACGCUUCGGGUAUAGGAUCGAUUGCAAAUGCUUUAAUGUUUGACCAUUCUAAAAUUUUCCAAAUGUCGAGCGCAUUUAGAGGGAAAAGGGACUAGAAUUGGUUUUGACUAAAAUAAUUAAACAACUAUCAAAGGACAAUCCAAAGUUCGACGAGGAUUGGUCGCUUGUGAGUAGUUGGAAGCAUGGUAUUGGAUGGACCAUAUCGACAUUAUUAUGAAUAGAAAAGAUUCUAUUAAGAAUGAGUUGUCAUAUGGAAAUUAUGGAAAUGUUUCCAUAUUGGAUGGACCAUAUCGACAUCAUUACGAAUAGAUAAGAUUCUAUUAAGAAUGAGUUGUCAUAUGGAAAAUAUGGAAGCGUGUCCAUAUUGGGAAUUGAAUAUUGAAAAUCUAUGUCUAGAUUAGAAACUUUUAUGCAAAAGGAUGUUCAAAGGAAUGUACUUUGAGUGAGAGACAUCAUAUCUAAGGAAUUGUCUUGUAACAAUCUCCGAUAGAGGACUUUGUAAUAUCAUUGGCAAUAGUCUUUGUGACUUUGGUGCAGUGACAUUACGAAAGGAUCAUUGCAUAGAAUGUUAGAAUCUAGCAUAUUCUAUAAGUAGCAAGAAUUUGAUAUUCUUUCACUUAUGAAAAAGGGAUUUGGAGUUGUGAAAUGAGAAGGAUUGGAAAUGUGUUCAAUGUGAUCUAUUUCACAAAGUAAGAACCAUAGGUAAACAUUGUGUGCAUGCUAGGAGCAUGGGACAAGUGUUGGAAUUCAAGUAAGAAGUUGAUUACCCGAAACGACAAAUAAUGAGUAAUCAAUAUGGUGAUAAAUAAAAGGUGUUUUAUUUAUACUCAAAGGUUUGAGGCCAUAUGGGAUUAGUAUUAUUCUUGUGUUUCACAUUUGCAUGUUUUGACUUCCAGAAUAAUUGAAUUUAUUAAGAAUAAUCGAAUUAUUCGAACGGGCCACAGUCGUUCAUAUGUUGGAAGUAGAUAUGAAUGAAGACUGUCGUGAAUUGGUGUGUGGAUUGUCUAAAAGAGUAUUAGACAUAAGCAAAUGUUUGCUGCAACGUUCAUGAGUGCUUAUGAAUAUGAUUUGAGCAUUGGAUUAAACCCACGCUCACUUGGAUCACUCCAUGAAUUGUAUCACGAGUGAUUGGUGAGACGAUAACAUCUUAUAUUCUUGAAACCGAGAUGUGUGAGUUGUAUCUUGCAAAUCGGUUGCACAUUGAUAAUAUGUAAACGCACUAGUAACUUGGUGUUAUAAAACAUAUUGUUGUGUGUGAUUCGGUGAGUGAGUGCAAGCAAGCAUUGUAUCAAAGUUUAUCCGUUCCUUUUAUCCAAAGUAGGAUAAAAGCGAUAUCUUUGGGCCCCUCGAUGAUUUAGUGAUGACAAACGUAAAUGCUCGGCCGGGCUAGGGCUAAUUUGAUUUGUUCAAUUAGUCAGUCGUCAUAAAUCGGGAAUCGAGAUAUAGUACAAAGAGAAUGAUUUGAAAUCAUAUCUCAUAUGAUAUCUAGAAUGGAGGAAUAUAUGAUCCCUUAUCUAAAGGACACGCGUAUCUGAUAGGAUCAGAGUUGACAGCGGCUUUGGAAAGCUACGAUUGCAGAUCAGGAUCUGAAGUCAUACGCAUAAUAGUUAUUAGACUUAUCCAAGUGGGAGACUGUUGGAUUAGUGUCUAAGUCCAUAACUAUUUUGGUAUGUACUUGACCCGAUGGUGCAUGGUCCUUUUGGGUUGCCUUCACCAAAGCAACUUGAUAGGAUGAAUUAUGGAGAGAAAGGAUUAAAUAUGAUUUAUUAAUAUAUUAUGAGAAUAAUAUAUUAAAGGAGAAAUCAUAUUGUUUAAUUAAUAUUAGUCAAGAAUUAAUUGGUAAUUAGUUUUGUGACUAAAAGAGAUUAAUUAAACUUAAGGGACUGGAAUUGUAAUUAUAAGAUAAUUGCAAUAUGGGCUAUGGAUUGUCUUAAAUUAAGGAGUGGACGAAUUCUAUGGGAAACCCAUGGGGAAAUCAUCCAAGGCCUUAAUUAAAGGAGUCCAUGGGUUGCUUAGGGCUUAAGCAUCCAAAUUAGGUUUCCUUGUUAGAUAACCCUAAUAACCUCCUAUAUAUAUGGAUCCCUUAUGACCCAAAAACGUGGCUAAGCAUUCCUCUAGGGUUUCACAUGUUUUUGGGCAGCCUCCAUCCUCUCUCCUCUUCAUCCUCUUGCUUAUGGUGUUUGUGAACCAUUAGAGGAGUGACAUUUGUGACUCUAAGCUUUCUAAAGUCAAUACAAGGAGAUUUGGGAUUGUUAUUGCUACAUAACAAUAAAGGUAAUAUCUUAAACCCAUUCUUAUGUUAAUAUGAUUACUUAAAUGCUAG
rnacentral:lncRNA from 1 species